CAAGCCCUAUAAACAACACUUAAACAAAAAACCCUCCCACCCAUUCCCGCCUCUAACAAAAAACCCUUCUUUGUUUUUGUCGACUAACAGGAACCCUUGGUGUUCCUGUGCUUUCUCUUCUCAGCACUGCUUGGAAGUCCAUCAUCGCUCCCUGCUUCAUAUUCUACACACACCAGGAUUUGUAUUUCGAUGGUUUCAACCAAUUUCGUGGAUGUUAAGAUUGAUAUAGGCUGGUUGACAAUAGGGGCAUCCGAAAAUUUGAUCAUUUUGAUGUGUAGAGGCCAUUGUUACACUUUGCAAAGAAGAAGAUGUAUAUCAUCUGAAAAUUACACUUAUAUGUAUGUGCUGGCUAGUGUGUUCCAUUUCCUUUUGUUUUGUUAUUUGGCAAAGGUUACACUUUUGUAUAGGGGAACAAUACCACCCAUCUUUCCUUUUGAAGUGUUGUUUGAAGAAAA